GUGCCCGCUUCAGCAGCACAGAUGCUAAAAUUAGAAUACAGAGAUUAGCAUGGCCCUUGUGCAGGGAUGACACACAAAAUCAAGAAGCAGGCUAUAUUUUU
rnacentral:snRNA from 3 species